rnacentral:rRNA from 1 species
UGCGUAGGCGGGUUGAUAAGUCAGUGGUGAAAACCUUCAGCUUAACUGGAGACUUGCCAUUGAUACUGUUAGUCUUGAGUACGGUCAAGGUAGGCGGAAUGUGUAAUGUAGCGGUGAAAUGCUUAGAUAUUACACAGAACACCGAUUGCGAAGGCAGCUUACUGGGCCAUUACUGACGCUGAGGCACGAAAGCGUGGGGAGCGAACAGGAUUAGAUACCCUGGUAGUCC